ensembl:lncRNA LINC00499 long intergenic non-protein coding RNA 499
UUUUGAGGUUCUGGGACUUGGACUGGCUUUCUUGCUUCUCAGCUUGCAGACGACCUAUUGUGGGACUUCACCUUGUGAUUGUGCCUCUUCUGGAACUGAUUGCAAGGAGUGAAAUGGACUAAUUUUAGAAUAAGCAACUCUACUAUGGAACAUCUGAAAAAAAAAGAGCACUUUUUAAAUUACAGCAAAAUAUUUUUUGAUAUAAAUUUGUGUCUGGCUUCCGCAGAAAACAGUAGACACAUAUAAGGUUUUGCUCCAAGAACAGACUGGACAAAUGAAAUGACAUAUAUAUCCACAAGGGACAUGUUUUUAAGGCAGUUGUCAGAGGAGAAAGAGGAGAAGCAUGUGGAAGGAGGGCUUCCUGAUGACUAAAUUAUAUGUAUGUUUCUGUAUGUCUCAUUUCAUGGGAACUACCUCUACUUUCAAAUGAUCAUUUCUUCCCAACAUUUCAAUCUAUAUAUCACUUCUCUUUGUAAUGAAAAGCAUGUUACUUUUCUAACUUUUAGCCUAAAUACUAAGAAAUAAAAAUUUAUUUAAUG